rnacentral:rRNA from 1 species
GAAGGGGGCGAGCGUUGUUCGGAUUUACUGGGCGUAAAGGGCGCGCAGGCGGCUAUUUUUGUCAGGCGUGAAAGCCCCGGGCUUAACCUGGGAACUGCGCUUGAGACGAGAUGGCUAGAGAUCGGGAGAGGAGAGUGGAAUUCCCAGUGUAGAGGUGAAAUUCGUAGAUAUUGGGAAGAACACCGGUGGCGAAGGCGGCUCUCUGGACCGAUACUGACGCUGAGGCGCGAAAGCGUGGGGAGCAAACAGGAUUAGAUACCCUGGUAGUCCACGCUGUAAACGAUGUGUGCUAGACGUUGGGGAGCCUAGCUCUUCGGUGUCGCAGCUAACGCUUUAAGCACACCGCCUGGGGAGUACGGCCGCAAGGUUA